GCCCUUCCACCAUGUGAGUAUACAGAGAGAAGGUAUGAUCCAUGGAUCAGGAAACCAGCCUUCCCUAGACAUGGAAUCUGCUGGCACCUUGAUUUUGAACUUCCCAGACUCCAGAACUACUCCUGCCCCUGCCACGAGAACACACCCUUUCCAGUUUGCUGGAGAAAUAUAAGAGAAGUCCAGUGAAAGAGAGCUGAGUUUCCCCAAUGAUGCCAUCAAGAUGAACUAACUACAGUUAACCAGCCAGCUGAUAGCAGAUGCAUGAGUGAGCCCAGCUGAGAGCAGUGCCUACAAUAGUUCCUGGUAUGUAGAAGGUAUACAAUAAAUAUUGGCGGAGUGAAGGAACAAAUGGGAUUUGCUUGAUUCUGCUGCAGAAGACUAAGAAAAAGACAUAAAUGAAUAAAUAACUAGUAGAAUGUUAACACAAUCAGAAAAAGGACCAUUUCUUUUCAUUUGGAUGUCUCAAAUCUAUUUGUUGUUUUUGUUGUUGUUGUUUUUCUGGCUGGGCUUGAA
rnacentral:lncRNA from 1 species